rnacentral:rRNA from 1 species
AACGAACGCUGGCGGCAGGCUUAACACAUGCAAGUCGAACGAUGAACCCGGAGCUUGCUCCGGUGGAUUAGUGGCGAACGGGUGAGUAACACGUGAGUAACCUGCCCUUGACUCUGGGAUAACUGCGGGAAACUGUAGCUAAUACCGGAUACGACCCUCGGCGGCAUCGCCAGGGGGUGGAAAGAAUUUCGGUCAAGGAUGGACUGGCGGCCUAUCAGCUAGUUGGUGAGGUAACGGCUCACCAAGGAGACGACGGGUAGCCGGCCUGAGAGGGUGACCGGCCACCCUGGGACUGAGACACGGCCCAGACUCCUACGGGAGACAGCAGUGGGGAAUAUUGCACAAUGGGCGCAAGCUUGAUGCAGCAACGCCGCGUGAGGGAUGACGGCCUUCGGGUUGUAAACCUCUUUUAGUAGGGAAGAAGCGAAAGUGACGGUACCUGCGGAAAAAGCACCGGCUAACUACGUGCCAGCCGCCGCGGUAA